rnacentral:misc_RNA from 1 species
AAAAAAAUAAGGCUUUAACUGCACGACACCCUUAAGUCAAUAAUCUUUCUGAAUUUUCGCCGAGAAGAAGAAAAAGGAGAAGAAGAAGAUGGCAUCCAACACGAUUGAUUUGUUGAAGCAGGAACUUCCCGUCGAACAAGAUUCUUUGCUUCUCAAUGGCGAUGUUAAGACCGGACUUGUUCUUGUUGAUAUCGUUAAUGGUUUCUGUACCGUCCGCGCUGGCAAUUUGGCCCCUAAACAGCCUGAUAAGCAAAUUUCUACGAUGGUUGAG